GCAUUGGUGGUUCAGUGGUAGAGUUCUUGGCCUCCAUGCAGGAGACCUGGUUCGAUUUCCAGCCAAUGCA
rnacentral:tRNA from 1 species